rnacentral:rRNA from 1 species
UUAGUAGCGGCGAGUGAAGCGGCAAAAGCUCAAAUUUGAAAUCUGGCUCUUUCAGAGUCCGAGUUGUAAUUUGAAGAAGGUAUCUUUGGGUCUGGCUCUUGUCUAUGUUUCUUGGAACAGAACGUCACAGAGGGUGAGAAUCCCGUGCGAUGAGAUGAUCCAGGCCUAUGUAAAGUUCCUUCGAAGAGUCGAGUUGUUUGGGAAUGCAGCUCUAAGUGGGUGGUAAAUUCCAUCUAAAGCUAAAUAUUGGCGAGAGACCGAUAGCGAACAAGUACAGUGAUGGAAAGAUGAAAAGAACUUUGAAAAGAGAGUGAAAAAGUACGUGAAAUUGUUGAAAGGGAAGGGCUUGAGAUCAGACUUGGUAUUUUGUAUGUUACUUCUUCGGGGGUGGCCUCUACAGUUUAUCGGGCCAGCAUCAGUUUGGGCGGUAGGAGAAUUGCGUUGGAAUGUGGCACGGCUUCGGUUGUGUGUUAUAGCCUUCGUCGAUACUGCCAGCCUAGACUGAGGACUGCGGUUUAUACCUAGGAUGUUGGCAUAAUGAUCUUAAGUCGCCCGUCUUGAAACACGGACCAAGGAGUCUAACGUCUAUGCGAGUGUUUGGGUGUAAAACCCGUACGCGUAAUGAAAGUGAACGUAGGUGGGGGCCCGUAUGGGUGCACCAUCGACCGAUCCUGAUGUCUUCGGAUGGAUUUGAGUAAGAGCAUAGCUGUUGGGACCCGAAAGAUGGUGAACUAUGCCUGAAUAGGGUGAAGCCAGAGGAAACUCUGGUGGAGGCUCGUAGCGGUUCUGACGUGCAAAUCGAUCGUCGAAUUUGGGUAUAGGGGCGAAAG